rnacentral:tRNA from 1 species
GCCCGGGUGGCGGAAUUGGCAGACGCGCUAGCUUGAGGGGCUAGUUGGAGAUAUCCAGUGCUGGUUCGAAUCCAGUCCCGGGCA